UACGUAGGGUGCAAGGUUUAAUCGGAAUUACUGGGCGUAAAGCGGGCGAAGGCGGCUUUGCAAGACAGAUGUGAAAUCCCCGGGCUUAACCUGGGAACUGCAUUUGUGACUGCAUGGCUGGAGUGCGGCAGAGGGGGAUGGAAUUCCGCGUGUAGCAGUGAAAUGCGUAGAUAUGCGGAGGAACACCGAUGGCGAAGGCAAUCCCCUGGGCCUGCACUGACGCUCAUGCACGAAAGCGUGGGGAGCAAACAGG
rnacentral:rRNA from 1 species